GGGUAUUCCACUUUAAAGGAUCACUAUAGGGUCAGGAACACAAACAUGUAUCCCUGACCCUAUCGUGUUAACACCAUCUAGUCCCCAUGAGCCCCUCAUGCCUCCAUAAAUAUAGCAACAUCUUACUGUAUUCAAGCUUGAAGCUGUAGAUCUGCAUGCUGUUUGCCUCAGAAAACCAAGCUGUCUGCUGACAUAAUCAGAAGUGGUGGCCUGAU